GAUGAACGCUAGCUACAGGCUUAACACAUGCAAGUCGAGGGGCAGCAUGAACAUAGCUUGCUGAUUUUGAUGGCGACCGGCGCGACGGUGAGUAACGCGUAUCCGACCUGCCCCGUACUCAUGGAUAGCCUUGCGAAAGCAAGGGGUAAUACAUGAUGUUGUCAUUGUUCUGCAUGGGAUGAUGACCAAAGGUUACCGGUACGGGAUGGGGAUGCGUAACAUUAGGUAGUAGGCGGGGUAACGGCCCACCUAGCCUACGAUGUUUAGGGGUUCUGAGAGGAAGGUCCCCCACACUGGAACUGAGACACGGUCCAGACUCCUACGGGAGGCAGCAGUGAGGAAUAUUGGUCAAUGGUCGAGAGACUGAACCAGCCAAGUAGCGUGCAGGAUGACGGCCCUCCGGGUUGUAAACUGCUUUUAGUUGGGAAUAAAGUUCGGGACGUGUCCCGUUUUGUAUGUACCAUCAGAAAAAGGACCGGCUAAUUCCGUG
rnacentral:rRNA from 1 species